rnacentral:rRNA from 1 species
CCUACGGGAGGCAGCAGUGAGGAAUAUUGGUCAAUGGACGAGAGUCUGAACCAGCCAAGUAGCGUGAAGGAUGACUGCCCUAUGGGUUGUAAACUUCUUUUAUAUGGGAAUAAAAUGUUCCACGUGUGGGAUUUUGUAUGUACCAUAUGAAUAAGGAUCGGCUAACUCCGUGCCAGCAGCCGCGGUAAUACGGAGGAUCCGAGCGUUAUCCGGAUUUAUUGGGUUUAAAGGGAGCGUAGGUGGGUUGUUAAGUCAGUUGUGAAAGUUUGCGGCUCAACCGUAAAAUUGCAGUUGAAACUGGCAGUCUUGAGUACAGUAGAGGUAGGCGGAAUGCGUGGUGUAGCGGUGAAAUGCUUAGAUAUCACGAAGAACUCCGAUUGCGAAGGCAGUUCACUGGACUGCAACUGACACUGAGGCACGAAAGUGUGGGUAUCAAACAGGAUUAGAUACCCUUGUAGUC